rnacentral:lncRNA from 1 species
UAAGAAUGCUAUUUGCAGAGAUGGUGUAGUCUUAAGACUUUGGAUUUGUGGGCUUUGAAGUUUCCUCAGCACAAUAAGCUCUUUUUCUACUGUGUCUACUUUUGCCACGGGCCACUGCUCAUUGUACAACCAGCAUGCUGUUCCCUGAGUGAAUCUUCCUGAAAGUCUGUAAAAAGGGAAUCUGAGGAAACAGAGCCCUUCAUCAAAAGGUUUCUGCAUGAGCGCACAUUCAAUUCUCCACUGUUUUGAUAAGAUGAAUCAUGUGUGGAUAAAUUGUGGAUCACAUUUAUCUUUUGAAACUUACUACUUGAGGUUUGCUCUCUAAAAUAAGACUCUUGGACUCACAAAGGCCAGAAAACCUUUAUGUCUGCAGAUAUAUGAUAAGAAGAUGUUUAAAGUACUCUGUUGGAAAUAUCUGGGGAGUGCCAUAAAGGAGAAGGACUGGUAUCCCUCAGUCCCACAAGGUCACUGGAGUGGAACAUCAGUGCUAUGACAUAUUUGUUUCCGGGGAAAAGCACAUUGGCCUUUGCCUCCUUCUUUUCUAACCAGCUGGCAAAUAAAGGUGCUCAUGGAAGAUGGGCUGGCUGGCCCUCGGUCUGCAGGUACCUAGCACAGUGAGACCAGGGAGAGGUGAACAGCUGACAUGGCACCUCAUAUGAAUAAUGGCAUGCAAUGCAACUGGAAGGUACUUAUUACACCUAGAGAACAUCCAAAUCUUUUGGUUAUUAACAAUAUUAAACAUAUUAAUAAAAUGUGAUCCCUCAUUAGGCCAUGCCCUUGAGAAAGGAAAAUAAAUCUUGGGGCUCCAAAGUCACUAAGCUAAAGGGAAAAGUCAAGCUGCGAGCUGCUUGGGCAAACCUGCCUCCCAUUCUAUUCAAAGUCAUCCCUCUGAUCACUGAGAUAAAUGCAUAUCUGACUGCCUCAUUUGGAGAAGCUAAACAGAAACUCAAAAGAAUGCAACCAUUUGUCUCUUAUCUACCUAUGACCUGGAAAGCCCCUCCCCACUUCCAGUUGUCCUACCUUAGCUUUGAGUUGUCCCGCCUUUCUGGAUAGAAGCAAUGUUCAUCUUACAUGUAUUCAUUGAUUUUUCAUGUCUUCCUAAAAUGUAUAAAACCAAGCUGUGCUCACACCACCUCGGGCACAUGGCAUCAGGACCUUCCGAGGCUGUGUCACGGGUGCAUGUCCUUAACUUUGGCAAAAUAAACUUCCUAAAUUGACUGAGACCUGUCUCAGAUAUUCGGGGUUCACAUCCUAAACAUAUAUUAGCUCAUUUGAGUACUAUAAUUACUCGAUUAUAUUGAGUACUAUAAUUUUACAAAUGAGAAAAUGAAGAAUAUUGAGAUUUAAAAACUGCAGUGACAGAGCUUCUAUUUGAACCUUCGCAACGAGUAACAGAGCCCCUACUUGUGAUUAUACUAAUGCCACUAAUCUGUUCUGAAGGAAAAGGUUCAACUCAUUUAUAGGUUCCCUGCCAAUAAAUGAGUUAUGUGCAUUGUUAAUAAUAGAAAUAAUUAACACAUUAAAAUAUUGGGCAUAACUAUAAGGAAUAGAGAAAGAGUGACUUUAAUGGUUGCUAAUUCAACAGUGGCUAAGACAGGGUUUAGUACCAUGAAGAAACAUCCUUGAUCAUGGGCAUGAUGAAGAUGAGUUUGACAAAACUGCAGGUAAUCCUUAAUAUGCGAAAAUAAAAUAAUGAAGGACUCAUUUUAAAUGGACACAAGUUUUGUUUAUAUAAAGUUAUGAAGUCAUCUGAAGAAAGAAGAAACAGUUCAGAGAGGAACUAGAAAGUUUUGGAGGUGGUGUGCAAGUGAGUGAUGGGGAACAUUUCAAAUGCUUUAUCAUGUACUAGCUACUUUCAAUUGUGAAGGAAGUAUAAUAAAGAAAAUGGCAUUCUUUCCUCUUUGUAUGUAUCCUAGAAAGGGAAUGUGUUAAAGUGCGUAUUUUAUGCAUUGUGUAAGAUUGGAAAAAAAAGUAUAGAAAUAAACUAUAAUGACACCUAAUAAAAGUAGGCAUUUAACCCAUAUUUAUGCCUCCAAGAGCUUUGUUAAACCCAACAUACUGACGUUGCUUAUGACUUUGAUACUU